CAGUUUCCAUUUCAAAUAAGUUAUUGUGAUUCAAUAUCACUUCCAAUAUUGUAAACUGGUUAUUAUUGUAUCAUAACUGUUGAACUACUUAAAAUUUAUUCCUUUCAAAAGUAGCCUCAACGAUCCAUUUCACAUGUUUAGCUAAAAUUAGAACUUGUGGUGUAGUUUUCACAUACUUUUAAAAAUUAAUAUUAUUUUCACAUAAUGAAUAAUUAUUUAUUAUGAGAUUGUUAAAGAGUGUUUCUUUUGCUUCUCAAUUCUAAUUAUUAGCUAUUUAUCUUUAUUGACUUCAAGCUGUUAUUAAGAAGAAAUGUAGCCUAAAUGCCACCAAUGUUGGUGAUGAGGGUGGCUUUGCCCCUAAUAUUCAGGAGAACAAAGGUCUUCAAUUGAUCAGAACAACCAUUGCUAAAGCCGAUUAUACAUCAAAAGUUCCUUCUCCCCUUUUCUUUUCAUUUAUGUGUUUGGUUCAUUCAAUGUUCUAUAAGCACCUUGUAUUUCUUCUAUCUUCACCUGUUGAAAGAGUAAAACAGGCUUGCUUCUUCCUUCUACUCAAGUUGUCAUUGGAAUAAAUGUUGUUGCGUCAGAAUUUUAUAGAUCGGACAAGACUUAUGAUUUGAAAUUGUCAAGGCAAUGGAUGCAAGCAACUAUGGUAAUUAAUGUCAAUUGUUAGGUUUUAAUACAAUUUUUUUUUUCAUCAUUGGUUCUAAAUUUUUUAAAUGAAACACAUUUACUUUAGUUGACAAUUUGAUUCUAAUCAAUAAAAUCUAACACAACUAUCCUCUUCAAUAGUCAUUUAAGCUCAAUUCGUGUUAUCGAAGGUUCUAACCACAUUAGGAUAUCAAAGCAACUUUGAAAAUCAGGUCUACUCCAUCUUCAUUCUGAUUUCAAAUGCUUAAUAGUGAAUUUGGCAGCUGAGCUUGCCUUUUAUGCGGUUGGAUAUAAACUACUAUGACCUUGGCCUUUCCCAGUGGGAUGUUACUAAUGACUAAAAAAUCAUUCAAGUUGCAUAAGCUACUUUUGACUUUGACAUCCUGUGUUCUCGAUUUUGAAUAAAUAUUGAACUUCUGAUAAUAGGACUUCGAUAUCUUCAUUUUGUCAUUUGCUUCAUAAUAUUUGCAGUACAGAACAUCUGUAUUUUUUAGUUUUCUAUUACAAUUUUCGUAAAUAUGUAUUCAUUUUUCUUCCUAGUUAAUAGUUAUUUUGUAUGUUGAAAUUGUAGAUUCAAUUUAGUAAUUAAAUGUGCCACCAUUACUCCUGGUAGGCACAACUCAUCUUAAAUUGUUCGAUGCUAUGCAGUGGCUCUUCAAAUCAUUUUAUUUUUAAAUUAUGAAUCGGAUCAUUAUCCCUUCUACACAUUAAUAAAAGAGGAAAUGUGGUGUGCACUGUUCAUUUUUGUCCCCUCAUGUUCACACUCAAUCAGGAUAGGCAUUGUUCAAAAACAAGUUACAUACUGUUCAUCAAAAUAUCUUUGGUAUAUAUUAUAUAUAUGCCUUUUGUACCUCUUGUAAUACCAUUUAUACCUUUCCAAUCUCUCUAAAUAAUCAUAGGCAGCCAUUAACUCCAAUAGACUUGGCGACGAGGACGACAAAGAAGAAGACGUGAAGAAUAAGGUUUCAUCGCGAUACCUGGAGUUGGAUAAAUUUUUGUUUUGGGUUCUCUAUUUUCCUUCUUUCUAAUUCUACUUUCUAAGUUUAGUUGACAUUUUUCUUUGCUUAAAUUUAGAGGUUUUGAGUAUAUAUAAUAUCUGGGCAUCUCAUAAAUAGCUUAAAUAGUUAUUUAGUUUUGGGAAUUCCAUAUUCUGAUUUUUUUUAGGUAACUCUUUUACCUUUGUUUAUAUGCUUAUUCUUUGUUCUAUGUGUCUGUUAGUUUGUUUCUGAACCGAAAUUAAAUUGUUCUUAAUUCAUUCUUUUGAUUUGAUUUUUUGAAUUUCAAGUUUAUUCCUAUUUUUAACUUCUGUUGUUUAAAUAGUGUAUGCCAAUAAUGUUGUGAGAAUACAAUUUAUUAGUUCCAUGGUUCAUGUAGUGGACCUCCAUGAUUUUCCCAUUAGUAUCCUAGCUUGACGUAUGGCAAACAUCGAAUUAGUAGGAGAAUACCUCGAUUUGGCUCCAGAUCCCAAUCUCAACAUCUCGAGUGGUCAUCAGCCUAUAUCGAAGGAGACAAGUACUAUGGUGCAAAAGCAACUAUUAAUGUUUGGGAAUCUAAAAUACAGCAGCAUCAUAACAAGUUCAAUUUGCCCCAAAUUUGGUUACUGGGUGGCUCAUUUGGUGAAGAUCUCAAUAGCAUUAAAGCUGGUUCGUAGGUAUAUUUGUCUCCAAAUCACUUGGUCGAUUAUAAUUUGUUGCAUUCAUCUAACGGAUUAGAAUGCAUGUUAUUUCAAGUUACCCCCAAUUUAAGUACAUACCUAUAGAAAAUUUAAAAAAGAAUGCUAGUUCAUAUUACAUAGAAGUUAAUUAUAAGUACAAAAACUCGAAGAAAGCAUUUAAUGGAGGUUCUUAACAGUUAGUCUUGUGUUUUGGAACAUGCUUAUAUUAUGUGACAAUUAUGUUUCUCUUCCAAUCCUAUUUAGCACAUAGAGUAAAAGCUUCAAUUGCACCCAAUGUCGGAUGUCUCUGAUAACUGGAGCUAAUUGGUUAAAUGUAGAGGAAAUUUUACUAUUCGUUCGUCCCAAGCAUAAAUAAAAUAGUUAAUCCCUAAGCAAGCUGGAGUGUAGUACGAAUCAUGCUGUAAAUUUUUCUGUUAAAAUAAUUUAUUUAUUUUGCAUGGGACAACCUUUGAGAAAUCGUUUGGCAAUGAUGAGAGAAGAGAAAGAAAAUUCGAUUUUGAGAAUUUUUAAAAUGAGAAUUGAUUCCCUAAAAAAGAAAGCACUGAACGUGUCUUCAAAGUCAAGUAUUCUUUCAAGAAGAGCAGAGAAGUAAGAGUGGUAUUCGUGGCAACUUCGUUUCAUUUGAGGAUAUUCGGGAUGCUGAUGAGUUGCAAGCUAUUAAGGCAUUUCGGCGAGCCUUAAUGCUAAUUGCCAAACAAGUUUGAUGAUUAUCAUAUGAUGUUGAGGUUAUUAUAUAACGCUUUUGCUACUUUUAGUCAAAUGUUCACAUGUAUGAAUGGAAAUAUAAACUGUAUCCUAGUUUAACUUGUAGAUGUCCUGAUUUUGUUCUCAUUACGAUGGAGGUAACUAGACAUCCCUUCCUCCUUUAGUAGGACAAUUUAUGAUUUUGUUGCAUUAUUUUAUAGUUUUCCCUAUAUUGUAGUCGAUGGUUAAGGUUUGAGGGAUUGCAUUUAAUAGUCUAUCUAGAUAAGUUAUUUUCUAUUUCUUGUAAACAUUUUAGUAUAUAAUUGGAAAAGUAUGCAAAUAUUCAAAAUUUUGUUGAUAAUAUUGUGUCCUCCAAAAUGUUGCAAACAUUUCAUAAAAUAUUUAUCAUCAAGAUGGUCCAGGUAUUAUGCUACUGUAGAAUAUUGUAAAGAGUUUUCUUGAUCCCAGGGCCACCACUAAGAUACAUGUAUGUUGCUAUUUCUUCCUUUUUCCAUGUGGAAGCUUUAUUUUUCUCACUUAAAUGGCCGACUUUAAUUACUCGGUCUACCUUUUUUCUAUAAUAUCUCACAUGUUCUUGAAAACAAAUAUAAGAACAAUUUGCUUGAAAUAAGAGAUACCAGGUGCAAAACAAUGGAAACCGUUGUUGCAACUUACGAACAUUGAAAUUUAUUUCGAGAUUCUGACGUAAAUUUUUGGGUUUGUGUAGUGAUCAGAAUUCUUCGGUGGAACGUGUAUCUGUGCAGACCAAGGGGUUUGCCUUCGGUCAAAUAAAGGACCAUGGAAAAUUCUCGAGAUACAAAAGAUGGUGAAGCACGAUUGCCAAACAGGUGGUUGAAAUUCUUAACAACGAUGGAGAGAGUUUAUGCUAAGCCCCACUACUUGAUUAAGCAGGUAAAAGGCAGGGACACCUCAACUGUUGAAUCUGGUUAUGAAGCUGAAGAUAUUUCUUCACCAAAAGCUAUUAGGAGUUAUCGCACCUUUGAUUGACUCCUGUUCGUGCGGAGAUAUGGUAUAAGAUAAGAGAGAAGGAAAAAAUUGUUCAGGCAUAUUCUUCUUAGGAUCUUGAAGAAAAUUUUAGCUCCGAUGGAAUAAAAGGAUGCUUGAUAAACCCAUCCAAGAAAUUGGAAGGAAAAAGACUAUUUACAAGCACAAGAAAAGAAUUUGAUUGUGGAGAGAGUGGACUCCAAAUAUACUAUGAACCGAUCCUAACCACAUAUUUUAUGGGUUCCACAACUUUUCAAUCAAACAUUUCAUUAAAUUCUCUUAAAAAUCUAAUAUUAAUCUUCAUCAAACAGGAACAUGUAUUAAAAUUGAUGAUGUCCAAAAAUCAUGGUAUAAAUUAACCAUUUUUUUAACAAUUAAAAAAAAAUGCAAAGCAAGGGUAGAUGAUGAACCAUCUACAAGAAACAAGUUGUCCAAAUUUAAAGCUCAAAUAUCAGAAGUGAAAGGGAUAAUGAUAGACAAUAUUGAGAAAGUACAACAAGAGGCAUUAAAGCCCAAGCAUGAGAAGCCGAUACAGGAGUCAUAAAAGAGGCCUUCCUACAAGCCUUUUGGAUCAUUAGAGCUUUCUUGGUGGAAGAACAAAAGAUUGUGAAGAAGGUUUUGAAGAUUUAGAAGGCCAAGGAAAAGCUAUCUGCUAAGAGCUGAAGAAUGAGUCAUAUGCCAAUAUAGUUAUGGAUACUAUUAAUCAAGGAUGAUCGGAAUUGUAUUAUGAGGCUUCCAUGCUUAAAUUAUGUUUGUUUCUUAGAUUUUGUCAAAUGACUGCGUUCUUCAGUUUGUUGAAAAUUCUCAUAUUUGAUUUUGGUUUCCCUGCUUUUUCAAAACAACUUAAACUUCGUUUGGAUUUACUCAUGUAAUCCUUGAUUUUUUUUCCUCAACUGAGUUUGAGUUAUCAUUAAUUA